rnacentral:rRNA from 1 species
UCUUUCAUGUGUUUUUUAUUAGUAUAAUAAUAUUGCAGCAUAUAUGUCAUGUUGCAGCGCUGUUAACCUCCGUGUGAGGGAGUGCAAAAAGUACAGGAGAAGUAAAAGGGGAACAGGGAAGGGGUUGUUAAACGGGAAGCGGGGGACAAACAGAUUAAACCCUGUGUUCCACCCGUAAACAUGAGUGUAAGUGUUAAGAGGUUCCGCCUUUAGUGCGCAGUACGCAUUACACUCCGCCUGGGAGUACGCCGCAAGGCUGAAACUCAAAGAAUUGACGGGGGCCCGCACAAGCGGUGGAGCAUGUGGUUUAAUUCGAAGCAACGCGAAGAACCUUACCAGUUCUUGACAUCCUCUGACACUCCUAGAGAUAGAACGUUCCCCUUCGGGGGACAGAGUGACAGGUGGUGCAUGGUGUCGUCAGCUCGUGUCGUGAGAUGUUGGGUUAAGUCCCGCAACGAGCGCAACCCUUGAUCUUAGUUGCCAGCAUUCAGUUGGGCACUCUAAGGUGACUGCCGGUGACAAACCGGAGGAAGGUGGGGAUGACGUCAAAUCAUCAUGCCCCUUAUGACCUGGGCUACACACGUGCUACAAUGGAUGGUACAAAGGGCUGCAAGACCGCCGACGGUUUAGCCAUAUCCCAUAAUAUACCACUUCUCUAGUUCGGUAUUGCAGGCUGCUAUACUUCGCCCUGCUAUGUAAGCCGGUAAUCGUCUAGUUAUAUCGUCGGUAUCAGCUAUGCCGCCGGUGAAUACGUUCCCCGGGCCUUGUACACACCCGCCCUGUCACACCAUCGAGAUGUUUAACCACCCAGGUCGUGGGAACCCUACAUAGCCCCGGUGAUGUGAACUGUG